UUUUUAUAACUCUGUAAGUAUUAAAAACAAUUUAUUUGAUGUAAGGAUAGCAUGAGCUAUAUAAAUAAAUCAAAAAGUAAUAAAAUAAAAUUCUAUUUGAUACAUGCAAAAAGUGGAAAACAUGGAUAAAUUUUCAAGUUUGUUAAUGUUAUUAUGUGGGAGAUUCGGAGUUUGAACUCCGACCUACAUAUAAAAUGCAAUAUCCAUUUUCUAUCACGAGAAUGAUAAUAAAAUAAUGAAAAUUUGUUAAAUAAAUUAUGUAUGGAUUAUUUUGAUUUGUAAAUUUUUAUUUGAUGACCUCCUUAGUAAAGGUGCUAAAGGGACAAAUUAACAAAUUAUUGUACUUAAGAGACGUCUAAUAAUUAUUUUAAAAAAUAAAACAUCAGCUAUAUAAAUAAAUCAAAAAGUAAUAAAAUCAAAUUCUAUGUGAUACAUGCAAAAAGUGGAAAACAUGGAUAAAAUUUUCAAGUUUGUUAAUAUUAUGAUCAUCAUUUUUUUCCUAUUUCUUGCUUCAACGCGAGUUUCAUAUGCUAACAUUCCAUGUAAAACUGAUCGUGAUUGUCCAGUAGUUUCCGCCAACCCGUUCAAGAAUUCAAAACCUAUAAGAACGAGGUGUCGUAAUGGUUUUUGUAUUUUGAGAUAAGACAUUAAAUGAAUUUUUUUAUAGUUUUUUUAAUUUCACGUACUUUUGUAAGAUGAUGUAAGUGAAAUGAAAUAAAGCAUAAAAAUUAUUAUCUA